rnacentral:rRNA from 1 species
GACGAACGCUGGCGGCGUGCUUAACACAUGCAAGUGGAGCCGACGAACCAGGGCUUGCCCUGGGGCAGAGCCGCGAACGGGUGAGUAACACGUUGGGUUACCUGCCCCGAUGACCGGGACAACCCGAGGAAACUCGGGCUAAUUACCGGAUGUGUCCGAAAGGGGAAAGAAGCUUCGGCCUCCGCAUCGGGAUGGGCCCGCGGCCCAUUAGCUUGUUGGUGAGGUAACGGCUCACCAAGGCUGCGANGGGUAGCUGGUCUGAGAGGACGAUCAGCCACACUGGGACUGAGACACGGCCCAGACUCCUACGGGAGGCAGCAGUGGGGAAUCUUGCGCAAUGCGCGAAAGCGUGACGCAGCAACGCCGCGUAGGGGAA